rnacentral:rRNA from 1 species
UACGGGGGGAGCAAGCGUUGUUCGGAUUUACUGGGCGUAAAGGGCGCGUAGGCGGCCACUGCAAGUCAGUUGUGAAAUCUCCGGGCUUAACCCGGAAAGGUCAACUGAUACUGCAGGGCUAGAGUGCAGAAGGGGCAACUGGAAUUCUCGGUGUAGCGGUGAAAUGCGUAGAUAUCGAGAGGAACACCUGCGGCGAAGGCGGUUUGCUGGGCUGACACUGACGCUGAGGCGCGAAAGCCAGGGGAGCGAACGGG